UACAUAAUCUACCUGUUGUCUCUUGUCUGAAGAUCCUAAUCACUGAGUCAGGGAUUACUUUUCACCACAAGUAUUUGCUUUCAGCACAGUAAAGGCCAAGAUCUAAUGGAAGGUUCUGCUAUCUCUUACUGCAGGCUUAAUAGAAACCUAUGACUCAUCUUGCUCCACUACCCUGCUCUUCCACAGGGUGGAAGGGGUUUGAGUGCUGCACUUUACUCACCCAGAUGUAGCAAAUCCAUGUCUGGCUAGAUGAACUUUGAUCAGAAAUAUCCGUGAAAGAGUGAGCUGGAUGGCUGGAGAAUUCUUUUACAGGCUGCCACCAAGAAGUAAGGCUUGCUUGCAAUAUACCCAGUUAUGCCUACAGCAACUGGUUUCCUUCCCAUUUUGUCCAGGUAUAUUGUGGACUGCUUCUCUGUGGUAUGUCUCUAGAAAAAGAGAGUGGAAAAGGCUGAAGGUGUCACUCUUUCACACAUACUGUAAUCAAGCACAGGAUUAUGCCAAGGAAGAAAGCAGAUAGUGAUAAAUGCUAACACUGGAGAACUACCCUCAAAUACAGCACAGCUGUUCCUGGUCCUAUAGCCAGCCAUUUGAAUUUGAAACACAUGCUGAAAAACUUUGUCCAACUGUACUGUACUGUGAUAAUUCAGUGCACUGUGAUAGGAUCUUUGUCCUAUAAAUAAGAAAAAAAAUGAUCUAGGCACCAAUGGCACAUUUGAAGAGUAGGGAAAAUAAGUGCCUGGAAAGGAGAAAAUAGAAGAAAAUUGUAAUUGAAGCAGUAAAAAGCUCUCAUGAUUUUUUAUGUAAUACCAAUAUUGUAAAUAUAAGACUGUGUGUCAGACAUUGGGACUUGAAUGUAUGGAUUUUUGACUGUGCUCCUCAUGUUAGUAAAAUCUUUUCUUCAUUGAAAUUCUAUACACCAGAGAAUACUGUCAGAGUCUGAGAUUGAUCAGUCCUAAACAUACAUCAUAUACUAAUGCCUCAGUGUUUCUAUAGCACUUUUCAUAAUCUGAAAGCACUGCAUAUAUAUUAUCUUAGUAUGUCUUGCAGCAAUACUAUGUCAAGCUGCUAUUAGCAUCC